UGUUUGUUUGUUGUACAGGUCCUGGGCAUC
rnacentral:piRNA from 1 species